UACGUAGGGUCCGAGCGUUGUCCGGAAUUACUGGGCGUAAAGAGCUCGUAGGUGGUUUGUCGCGUUGUUCGUGAAAACUCACAGCUUAACUGUGGGCGUGCGGGCGAUACUGGCAGACUAGAGUACUGCAGGGGAGACUGGAAUUCCUGGUGUAGCGGUGGAAUGCGCAGAUAUCAGGAGGAACACCGGUGGCGAAGGCGGGUCUCUGGGCAGUAACUGACGCUGAGGAGCGAAAGCGUGGGGAGCGAACAGG
rnacentral:rRNA from 1 species